rnacentral:lncRNA from 1 species
CACAAGGUGAUAUUGUACCAUCACUCUUCGAGUAAGGUAACAUAUUAAGGUACUUGACUAACACAUUUAUAAGCUUCUCCUUGGUUCUGGCGUUCAUAUGAAUAAAAGAGACAAACAUGUAUGAUUUACAACUCUAGGUUAACCAACCCAAUCGAUUCAACAUGUUUAGUCCUUCCACCUUUGUGAUCCCACACUCCUAAUCAUAUGAGCUAAAAUGUUGCACACUCAAUCUUUGGAAGAUAUAUAUAAAAAACAUAAAUAUAGAUAGAUUAUCUUUCCAUUAGGUUGAGCGAUCUGAUCUGACAAAUAUUUUAAAUGCUACAGUCAUGAUCUUAUUAUCCAUAAACUUUGUGUUGCUCACUAUGCUUAAAGUUAGAGAAGAACAAAUACACUUUUGGUUCUGUUGGUGUUUUCUACCAACAGGGCCCAUGCACUUGAUCUCUGCCUUGUCUCUAUGAGCAGGACACAUUUUGAGAAACAUGGAGGAUUUUUCAACUCCCAGACUCUACCAAGUGAAGGACCUGGAUGUACGAGCACAAACACACUGAGCAAGAUACUGCCAACGCCACACUUCGAACUGCUGGGCAAACGAAGAACAUAGGUGACACCGUAUCAAGAGGUACAGACAUCAAGGUCCACACCUGAAUCAAAUAACGCACCUGAAGAAUGAACACGGUGAGAAGUCUUGUUCAGAAGACUUAAAACAUUGAACCCCUGCCGAAAGGUAAAAUCAGUAGUUAUCCAUAUUUAUCCUUUCUGCAUUCCUUUUUUCCUUAAAUUAUUUACUUUCCUUAAAUAGUUUGUUAGUUAAUCAUGCUAUCUUGAAAAGAAAUUAAAAAAUGUUAAAAACAGUAAGCCCCAUGUGAGUAUGCUCGUGGCAUAAAACCCAUAAGUACAUUCACUGUGGUGGCGUAAAAAUAAAAAUAUUCAUAUCCUAUAAAAAUGAAAAUAUAAAAAUAAGAUUGUGAUCCCACUAAAGAGAAUAACAUUUAUUGAGGAGGCUCAAUUUGAUAAAGGCAAAGAGAUUUUAUGCUAACACUUAACCAGUUCCACAAAACUUUGUUGUCUAUUUGAGCUCCACAGAAUUCAAGGAUCAAAGAAGACUAGCAAACGGAGGACAUCCUAAUCGCUGUCAGGGUGCUGCCGACAUUAAAAUACACCUCCACCACCUGCUAGCUACAUCAGAAGAAAUUACGUCAAAAUCCAGCUUGGGGGAGAGCACCCCCAUUUAUCCAGCUAAGUGUUUCUACUCGCGUUUAUACUUUACUCAAAUAAUAAAAAGAUGCAUAAUCAUAAAAACCCAAAUAAAGAUUUUUGUACAUAUAUAUAUAUAUCUUUGCUUAGUUUGCUAAAUAAAUAAAUAAAUGAAGUUUGCUAUGAACCCUCAUGAUAAGCUCUCAUAUGGAAAUGAUGAAUAGUUGCUCUGCCGUGACUGGAUCUCAAAAUUGAAAUCUCUCUCAAGUUUAGGCAUGAUUGUUAUGAAUUAAGAUUUGCUCUAAACCUGAACUUGUGGGAAGAGUACUUGAUCUAAAGUCUAAGUCGUUAACGGAUAUGAUAUGGGAAGGUUGAGUUGUUGUUUAUCUGUUCCUAGAGAUGCUAGCUCGAGAAUUUUAUCUUUGAAAAUCUUUAAAAUGUUGCAUGAUGAGUUCCUAUAUGAUGAGAGUUUAAAAUUCUAGCACAGCCAAAUAUACAUACUUAUUAGACUAUGAACCAUACAAUUACUUUUUACUACUUAUGAGCAUUGAGUGUGGUCAAGCUGUGUCGACCAUUAGGAGCUUGUCAUGCGGUUAAAAUCAAGAAUCACUUGCACGUUCACUCAUACAUGCUACUUCUACUCCAGAUGUACGCAUCCACAUACAUCCACUCAUUUCCAUCUCCAGAUUCACCCAAAAUUAUUCUACUCCUAUCCGGGAGAGAAUAGCCAAAAACAUUAUCCCAUUACUGCUUUUUCUUGUGAAAUAAAUGCUCGAGAUAUUUUGGUUACUUCCACUUGCUACAUUACUCUAGGAGGGUGAGUGCUCUGAAAAAAAGUGAAUACGAGGUAAUAAAAAGGGGCAAGUGCCCGGAACCUCGAAAGAAAAAAAAGGUGAGACGAGAGGUAAAAAUGGACAAGUGUCCGCCAGUAGAAUUAGGUGUACAAGAUACCCACCUGAGAAAAAAAAAGAAAAUAUAGAGCAUCUCAUUCCCCUCAAAAAAACUUCAAAGUGCAAGAAAGGUAUGUAUCCCCUCAAAAGAGCAAAAGUAGAAUUAGACUUCCACCAUUGUUAUCACCAUACACCAAUUAUUCGCCACACAUGCACAUCUUGAUUUGACUUAUUGACUUAUUUCUCUGGAUCCAUGGUUUGACUAUGCAAUAAAUGUCUUGUAAGUAUGUAUGCUUUAUCUCCCACCUAUGAGCUCCAGAUAUCAAAACCUUAUUAGAGUAGGAUGAGAGAGAAGGCAAUAUCACUAUGCCUUAUACCACAAAUACUACAUACUUUGAGAGAAGGCAUAUACCAUCACUGCCUUGUAAGGAUCGAGAAAUACCACAAAAGAGAGAAUUAAGAGAGUCAUACAAGGAAUCUCUGAGUUUUAUUUGAAAAUCUGCAAAAACUCCAGAGCUAUAGUUGAUCAAGAACAAGAGACAUGGCGCUUGACUUGACCGUUCUAUCUUUUAACUGCUCAAGACAUAAGUGACGGUUGCAAGCCCCAUGGUGAAAGGUAAAAUGAGUAAGUUUUAAGUCUUAACAGUUUACUCUAACUCAGAGAUGAGAUCUUGCUUGAAUGCAUGUGUACUCUUAAGGCAUGAAACCACUACAUAAACUCUUGAGUCCAUCCUUGGUCAGGGACGAGCAAGAGGUAUGCUUGGGGGAUUUGUUGACGGUCCUUAAGUACCAAAUUUAAUUAUCAAAUAAACAAAGAAAAGGAGCCAAAUGCAACCAACACCCAGACUUAGGGUUUUAUCUGACAGAAUUCCAUGAGUUUUGGUGUUUGUCUAUUUCUCUAGGGGGUUAUCAGGAAAUAUGGAGGAAAGGCCCACACGUCGGGUUUACAUAGAGAUAUUAACGUGCCGUGCAAAUUUCUAUCAUCUAGAAGACUCCAGAAGCCACGGGAACGAACGGGAAGCCGAGUGGGCAUUCCGUCUCGCGGAUUAUGCUCCACCGACCUAAAGGAUUAAGGAAAACCAUGCAAUUAAUGUCGGUUUGAUCCGACGGCCCAGAUUCACUUGAGGGGACUAUAUAAGCAGACCCCCUGGCCC